rnacentral:tRNA from 1 species
GGGGCAUUAGCUCAGUUGGGAGAGCGCCUGCCUUGCAAGCAGGAGGUCACGAGUUCGACCCUCGUAUGUUCCA